UAAAAGCAUCUUUGUUUAUUGGUGAUAAGAAGAUCAAUCUAUCAUGGAAAGAGACAGUUAAAUCUACGCCUCCAACGACGUCUUCCACAGGUUAUUUAAUAAGAAGAACUUCAAGAGUGCAAAACCAUUUGGGAAUAGAAAGGAUACACGAAUGCAACUGAAUUAGCAGAAUUGUUCGCUCGAAACUAUCCAAGUUGUGUUCUCGAUCAAACAAUGAGGGUGCUCAAAAGCUAUUGCAGGAGAUGAACCAUUAUGUUAUUGGAAGCACCUCCGAUCGUGCGAAGUUGUUAGUUAAGAUUGUGGUUGGAAGGAAAUGAAAAACUGAAAUUGAUCCUGAAUCAUCUUGGUAAACCAGCUACC